rnacentral:lncRNA from 1 species
AGACAAGUUGAGGAAAUUAUAGCUAACCCUCAUAGAAAAACUCACUUAUUAGGAUGUACCACUUAUUCAAAACCCUUACUACCUACCAUUAAAGAAUACCACCAUGUGCAAACCUCUGUAGACACGAGAAAGGUUCAACCAACUAAUACACAGUAUAGGGCCCUAUUAAGUCCCUCUCACAUGGUGAACUAGAGGAACACCGAAAGGAAGGCCUUUUGUUUCUGGUGUGCCUCUAAAUA